CUAACUGGGUUUGUAAUGUAUUUGUAACAAUUAGAUUUGCUUGGGCUGGGUUAUUCCUUAUUGGUGGCCCAUGGUCUUAGUUACGCCGUCUGAAGUUAACUUCAGAAUAUGCUUUCGUUCAUCUUCCCGACUAGGACAGUCAGAAACCAUUACAAGAGUUACACAGAAGCGAAGCGUCGUCUUCAGAGCAUUCAUCAUCUAUUGAAUGCAUCCCCAUUUACUUUCUUAUCUCAGAAUUUUCGACUAUAAAAAGGUAAUACAUCCGUUCAAGCUUCUGAUUCAUAAGUUUCUGGAAAAUGGCUAACUCCUCUUUGGAUGGUUUCUGGGUUUAGAUCCUUUGUUAGUGGUUUGAUUAUAUGACUGACUUUGAUUGGAAGUUUCGUUAGAUUAGGGUCUGUUGGUUUAUCAAUUUAAUUAAUAUGAAAUGUAAAUUAGCGUUAUUUGUAUCUGGAGAAGAGAUUAUAUAGUUUAGUCGCUUUGUAGGCUGAGCUAGAUACAAACGUGUUUUAGGCAAUUGAAGAAUAUAGAUGAGGUCUACCUCAGGCUUUGUUGGGAAGCUGCAAUGAUCAUGCAAGGCAGAUAUAUAUUAAGAUGCCCAUUAAAGAUCCUUCAAUCAAUCCUCCCACUACAUCUCUCUUUUGGAAGGUCCGAAUGUUAAGAGGAGGUGAGAUCAAGGGAUUUAAGCUCAUCAAUGUUGGACAAGAAGCGUUUCCACUCUCCACUGCCACACACCUCACCAGAUCGGACGGCUUGAAUUAGCUUUCAAUGAGUGUCAACCUCCAGAUGAGACACAGAGGAUGCAACUUAGGAGAGAGUUGGGUUUGGCUCCAAGACAGAUCAAGUUUUGGUUUCAGAACCGAAGAAAACAUAAGAAGGCGCAACACGAGAGAGCUGAUAAUUAUGCACUCAAGAAAGAGAAUGAUAGGAUUUGUUGCGAAAACAUUUCCAUUAGAGAAGCUCUCAAACACACACCAUUUGCCACACCUGUGUUCAUGAAGACUUAAACAGAAGCUUCGAAUCAAAAAAGCUUAGAGAAGAGGUUCUAGCUUUUUCUUUAUGAAACCCUCUUUCCAUCAAGUUGUUCUUCAAUGGCUGCCUCGAGUUUACUGUCUCUACCAAACUUUGUUAUCUCAGACAUGGAUAAGUCUCGGAUGACCAACAAUGCUGUGACCCGCUAUGGAAGAAUAUCUUAGGCUUAGGCCCUGUUCGUUUGCUCACCCAGGUGAUCCAUAUGGGUGAAGAUGCAAAUUGAUGUUCGUUUUGUACAUUAUAAUGCUACAUCCAGAUGUAUCACACAGCUGAAUUUUUAAAAA